rnacentral:rRNA from 1 species
GAUCAGAUACCGUCGUAGUCUUAACUAUAAACUAUGCCGACCAGGGAUAUGAGUUGUUAUGAAUGAUUUUUAAUUAUUCAAUUUCCUCUUGUGGACCUUGUGAGAAAUCAUAAGUUUUUGGGUUCUGGGGGGAGUAUGGUCGCAAGGCUGAAACUUAAAGGAAUUGACGGAGGGGCACCACCAGGAGUGGAGCGUGCGGCUUAAUUUGACUCAACACGGGAAAACUUACCAGGUCCAGACAUUAGAAGGAUUGACAGAUUGAUAGCUCUUUCAUGAUUUAAUGGGUGGUGGUGCAUGGCCGUUCUUAGUUGGUGGAGUGAUUUGUCUGGUUAAUUCCGAUAACGAACGAGACCUUUACCAUACUAAAUAGUUUGAUUUAUUCAUUUAUGAAUAAAUUUAUUUAUAUUAAACUUCUUAGAGGGACUAUUGGUUCUUAAACCAAAGGAAGUAAAGGCGAUAACAGGUCUGUGAUGCCCUUAGAUGUUCUGGGCUGCACGCGCGCUACAAUGAUAAACUCAACGAGUAUUUAAUAUUUAUUUAUUAUAUUGCUGUAUUGGAAAGUAUGGCUAAUCUUAAACGUUUAUCGUGCUUGGGAUAGAUGAUUGCAAUUAUUUAUCUUGAACCAGGAAUUCCUAGUAAUCGUAUAUCAUCAGUGUGCGAUGAUUACGUCCCUGCCCCUUGUACACACCGCCCGUCGCUGCUACCGAUUGGAUGAUCCGGUGAAAUCCUCGGAUAAUGAUAAAUACUUUACUUUUUUGUAAAGUUUAUCGUUAGAAGUUGAUUAAACCUUAUCAUCUAGAGGAAGCAAAAGUCGUAACGAGGUUUCCGUAGGUGAACCUGCAGAAGGAUCA